rnacentral:rRNA from 1 species
UAGGGAAUCUUCCGCAAUGGACGCAAGUCUGACGGAGCAACGCCGCGUGAGUGAAGAAGGAUUUCGGUUCGUAAAACUCUGUUGUUAGAGAAGAACAGCGCAUAGAGUAACUGUUAUGCGUGUGACGGUAUCUAACCAGAAAGCCACGGCUAACUACGUGCCAGCAGCCGCGGUAAUACGUAGGUGGCAAGCGUUGUCCGGAUUUAUUGGGCGUAAAGCGAGCGCAGGCGGUCAAUUAAGUCUGAUGUGAAAGCCCCCGGCUCAACCGGGGAGGGUCAUUGGAAACUGUUUAACUUGAGUGCAGAAGGGGAGGGUGGAAUUCCAUGUGUAGCGGUGAAAUGCGUAGAUAUAUGGAGGAACACCGGUGGCGAAAGCGGCUCUCUGGUCUGUAACUGACGCUGAGGCUCGAAAGCGUGGGGAGCGAACAGG